UUACCUCAGCCUUACUCCAGGGGCUCUGUGAACAGUCAAGUGCUCUGGCAUUGCCUGAGGAUACAUUGAAAUCUUGCUCCUUUCCCUCCCCAGUUGGAUCCUUGGUUUCCUUUGGGGUCUACAAUUUGGAGCAAACAUU